rnacentral:rRNA from 1 species
GAUGAACGCUGGCGGCGUGCCUAAUACAUGCAAGUCGAGCGAACAGAUAAGGAGCUUGCUCCUUUGACGUUAGCGGCGGACGGGUGAGUAACACGUGGGUAACCUACCUAUAAGACUGGGAUAACUUCGGGAAACCGGAGCUAAUACCGGAUAAUAUUUCGAACCGCAUGGUUCGAUAGUGAAAGAUGGUUUUGCUAUCACUUAUAGAUGGACCCGCGCCGUAUUAGCUAGUUGGUAAGGUAACGGCUUACCAAGGCGACGAUACGUAGCCGACCUGAGAGAUGGAGCGACCACACUGGAACUGAGAAACGCUCCAGACUCCUAAGGGAGGCAGCGUUAGGGAGUCUUCCACAAUGGACGAAAGCCAGACGGAGCAACGCAGCAUGAGUGAUGAAGGUCUUCGGAUCGUAAAACUCUGUUAUUAGGGAAGAACAUACGUGUAAGUAACUGUGCACGUCUUGACAGUACCUAAACAGAAAGCCGCGGCUAACUACGUG